UACGUAGGGUGCGAGCGUUGUCCGGAAUUAUUGGGCGUAAAGAGCUCGUAGGCGGUGUGCCGCGUCGGUCGUGAAAACUUGGGGCUUAACCCUGAGCUUGCGGUCGAUACGGGCAUCACUGGAGUUCGGCAGGGGAGACUGGAAUUCCUGGUGUAGCGGUGAAAUGCGCAGAUAUCAGGAGGAACACCGGUGGCGAAGGCGGGUCUCUGGGCCGAUACUGACGCUGAGGAGCGAAAGCGUGGGGAGCGAACAGG
rnacentral:rRNA from 1 species